GUGAAAACAUACUAACAAUGAAGAAGUGACCAACAGCUUUGGGUUGUAACAAACCAGUUGUGUCAUGGCCAUGAGCAGAUGCUGCUUUGCUGCCUUGAAUCGGGUGAUGGUUAAAGGAAGUUUCUCUCUGGAGCUGGCUCUCAUCUAUUUGUAGCAGGAAAUAAAUUUCUUUUAAAAAUGAAUCAAAA
rnacentral:lncRNA from 12 species